rnacentral:rRNA from 1 species
UACGUAGGGUCCGAGCGUUGUCCGGAAUUAUUGGGCGUAAAGGGCUCGUAGGCGGUUUGUCGCGUCGGGAGUGAAAACCAGCAGCUUAACUGCUGGCCUGCUUUCGAUACGGGCAGACUAGAGGCAUUCAGGGGAGAGCGGAAUUCCUGGUGUAGCGGUGAAAUGCGCAGAUAUCAGGAGGAACACCGGUGGCGAAGGCGGUUCUCUGGGCUAUAACUGACGCUCAUGCACGAAAGCGUGGGGAGCAAACAGG